AGCAAAAAGGAAAAAAAAACGAAAAUAAGAGAAAAAUAAAAAUAUGACAAAGAAAAAAAGAAAGAAAGAUUUAUAAAGAACAAACAACGAAAAAGGAAUGUUACCUAAGAGAACUACACUUUUCCUCUCUGUGAAUGCAAUCCAUCGAAAAUAAUUUUCUUGUCAAAAUUAGAGCUUGCCUUCAAUCUUCUUUUGUACAGUUAACAAAGUUCCCUUGCUAAUUAGAUUUAAAAAAAAUGAGGGGGAGAGGGGGACACUUGGUUUUCUUCCAAAAUCCUCCUUUCAGUUGCAACCUCUUUUACUCGGGUGCUUAAGAGAUGGAUCUUGAUCUCCAAGGCCAUCAACUAUCUCUACCUUCAACCUAUGCAGAGAAACUCAGGUUUGGGGAUCUUUUUGCAAAGCUGAACGACCAAGUGCUUAUCUCUACUAGAUGAAAUUACCCCAACUCACACCGCAAAUAACUUUUUCCCCUUAUCUGCUGCGAACAAAUCUUGAUUGCAUUCUCCUUGGCGAAAUCCCUUAAUAAUCAAAGUGGUAGGUCAAAAAUAGGGUCAUCAACUCUUAAGUAGCAAACUUCAGCAAAUGUGGAAACCUUCAGAAGAACUGUCUUUAAUGGAUUUAGGGCAUGACUAUUUCCUCAUUAAAUUCACCCAUGAACAAAAUUUUCUUCAUGCCUUUCACGACGGUCCUUGAUUUGUCUAUAAUAAUUUUAUUUCCGUACAAAAAUGGGAGCCUAAAUUUGUAGCUUCUCAAGCUCAUAUUGCUUACAUUGCCAUUUGGGUACGUCUUCCUGAGCUCCCAACAGAGUUUUAUGCUAUGAAAAUUCUACAAAAUAUUGGUGGAAAAAUUGGUAUAAUACUGAAGAUGGAUACCUGUACAACGACUAAUUCAAACGGUAGAUAUGCUCGCCUGUCCGUCCAAGUUUCUUUGGAUAAGCCCUUACUCCAUCAUCUAUAUCUCGGAACUCACAAACAAGCGACCUUCUAUGAGGCCGCAACACUUCUCUGCACGGUGUAUCCGUUUAGGCCACUCAUCUCACUGUCCCCAUAAAAUUUUACCAUAAUCGGAUGCUUUAACUGCUGCGAAGAUUGCUCAGAAUGAAGAACCAAUAACAAAAAAUCCUCCAAGUGCUCUUGACAAAAAUUGUGUGGAUGAAGAAGGUUAGUGACUGUUAAAUUUCCUACUAAGGGUAAAUUUAAUAGGCAUUUUGCAGAUAAAGUUAAUACCAAUCAGAAGUCUCCUUCUCAACCUCAUGAAUUACCUACGGGUAAAAGAAACCAAGUAAGUACCCACAACCCUUCUUUAUCUAAUCAUUCUUCAGUCCCUAAAUUCUGUAAAAAUUCUAAUAAUAAAAUAUUAGAGAUUGAUAAAGACUGCAUCGUUUCUCCUUUGACGGCUCAAAUAAACUCGUCCAACAGUUUAGACUUAACAUAAGAUAAAGACAACUUUGCAAAUAAAUCUCUUUCAGACGAAUUUUCUCCUACCCUUAUUCCUUCAAUUUCUAUGGGUGGGACCCAUACCAACCCACCCUCUUCCAACGUGGAUAGCAUCAACAUGUAAGAGGUACCGUCCUUUUCCCCUAUUACUACGUAUCCUGAUAACAUUGUUCAUGGGAAUAUUAAUCUUGGUAAUCAUUACUCUUUAUGUGCCUCAGCUGACUUGUACAAUUCCUCUUCCUUACUAUGCACAACCUAUGUUGGACACUCCCUAUAAAUUCAAACGUCCACGUUGAGCACAUAACUCUCACUUUCUCUGUAAAUUAUGAAUCACCACCAAAAUUAUCCCCCCACAGGCCAUCACAUUCACCACAGUGUCCCUUACCUAAUCUAAACUCUCUAGCAAAUAUAGUUAGUUCAAAUAGAGCAGGAGAACAACCUAGUCCAUCAUCUUGUUUAUGCGACUACUAACCCUACUCCGCUCAACUCACCCCAGUCUUGGCUGGAGAUGGUGUUGACGGGGCAAGCACUAAUGUUCACUAUACAAGUGAAUGGACGAGACUGCCUAGUGAUGAUCCAAAAUUCUCGAGACCUAGAUCAUAUCAUCACAGUGGGGAGACACUUGGAACGGAAGUGUUUAAUAACACCACUCAACAAAAUUGGGCUCACCCAUUUUAUCCACAGUUACGUCUAGAGGAGGAACUUAUCCCUUGGAUCCAACCUCACGUAAAAGUGGUGCAGAUAUAGCCAGGGAGUCACCAUGACACGUUGCCUCCUCAAUCACCACGUCAAGCUUAGGUGGGAGCAACGGGAAUGGAUUAGCAACCACCAUAAAAGACUUAGCUUUGGGGAUAGAAGGGAUGGCAUCCGCGACUACCUUCUUAUCUCAGCAGUCCCUGCUAAGGGGGAGGAAGGAGGAAUUUCCAUUCUUUGGUAUGCGGACCACCUGAAUGUUACUAAUAUGGCUCUUACGCAUCAGGAAGUCCAUUGCAUGGUUCAGGUGCCUGAUGUACAAAUUGGGUAAUCCUCUACUGGAAGACGUAUACAGGAAAUAAAAUAAAUUGAAUCAUGCACUGGCACAGAUGAAUGCAGUUAGUACUACACAAUUAUUAUUUUGGGAACCUCCUGCAUAUUUUGAGCACUAGCGAAAAUUGAGGCUUGAGUUACCGUAGGGUCAGGAUACACACGUCUAACCAACUUAUGUUUAAUACUACUAAUUGUAGUUGUCAGAUUGUAAAAACUAGAAAUAUGUGUAUUACUGUCGGUGCUUGUACAGUGGCUAGCUCACAUAUAACUUCUUUAUAAUAUGUUAACAACAUAUAUAUAGUAUGUCCUGUUUACACCAAAAAAAUGAAAAAGGAAAAAAAAAAGAAAUAAAGAGAAAUAAGUGAAAAGAAAAAAACAGUAAAGAAAAAGAAAGUAAAAUGUGAAAAAACUAACAAGGAAAAAAAGAAAG